GUAUAUCUAAUACGACAAUUACACCACGUAUUGUGUUAUCAGAUUUUUCCAAACCAAAAAGUACGACAUAUGUAAACAGCAAAUACGUCGUAAAAGUGACUGACGCAAACGGUACAGAAUUAUCGCCCACAUCAGGGCAGAAAUUGCCCGGUCCAGCACAAGUUUAGAAAUCUACAUCAAGAAGUCUGUACACAUAAUGCGUUGAUAUUAAUAUCAUCCAAAGGAGAUGUUAUCCAUUUUGAAAAACAUCGUUGAUGUUCUCAAGUUGAGAACUGCCUCACUACCAUGCAAACUCCGAGUGUUACGAGAUCGAGCGUUAAUUCUUUGCACACAAUUGCAUCAUAAUAAGACUUUCCCAUUGAGUUAAAACAUUUACAAUGUCGGUCAAUUACAAUCGCUUAUAGUUGUGAUUAUUACCACAUUUCAGAAUCCUAGAAACCAAGAUUUAUAACGCCAUUUGAGCAGUUUUGACCGCCACUGUAUAACUGGAUGUAUUAGCAUUUAUUACGUUGUAAUACAAAUGAAUCAAUUUAAACGUAUUGGUUGAAAUGCUUGGUGCAUGAUACAAAACCUACAAAUAACUUAUAAAACGUAUGAAAAGUACAUAGCUAAAGUAUAUGCUAUCAUCCAGUCAGGUGUUUCUGUUUCCUAAUUUGCUACAUCCUGCAUAUUUUUGUGGCUUUUUUCCUCAAAAGGCCAACUUUAGACUGGCUAAUUCACAUCUAAAUUAUAGCUGUUCCUAUGGCUGCCUGGAUGAAAUGGCAGCUGAUGAAUAACGUGUAAAAUAUGCAAGUCACAUUGUUCAUCUCUCUCAAUCAUUCAUUUUGCUACGACUAUGUGAAGCUAUAGUUAAGCCUAAGAUCAAAAACAAGAAAAUUGCUCUGAAUAUUACUCCCAAUCAUGACUUGUUGUGAACAGCAGACUGCCAUUUAAAAUUCAUGCCGGAACUCCGAAUUGCCAUUCAAAAAAUGAGAUGCACUUUUCUGGGUAUAAUUGGAAUCAGAUUUUUGAACCUGCAUGGGGCCGGUUGUAUAAAACUCUUAACUACAUUUGAAGUAGUUAAAUCGUAGUUAACUAGAAAAUACACGAUUCUGAUUGGCCUAUUCUGCCACUAACUAUAAUAGUUAAACGUUAACUACUUUUUUAUACAACCAGCUCCUGCUCGAUAUAACCAAGCCUAUAAUAUUCUAGUUUAUUACUAUUAGCUAUAAUGCAGUAAUAUCAUUCAAGUAUUUAUUUAGAAUAAUAAUUUUAAAACUACGGCAUAAACGGUAUUGGCAUAAAAUACUGAAAACAGCGGUGGUGUGUAAUAUAAAUACUGUAAUUUUAUUGUAACUAUAAAGGUUUCAGAAUUAUAUACUGUAGAUAUUUAUCCUACAUCAAUGAUAAACUAUGAA